rnacentral:rRNA from 1 species
UUUUAUGGAGAGUUUGAUCCUGGCUCAGGAUGAACGCUGGCGGCGUGCCUAAUACAUGCAAGUCGAGCGAACGGACGAGAAGCUUGCUUUUCUGAUGUUAGCGGCGGACGGGUGAGUAACACGUGGAUAACCUACCUAUAAGACUGGGAUAACUUCGGGAAACCGGAGCUAAUACCGGAUAAUAUUUUGAACCGCAUGGUUCAAAAGUGAAAGACGG